UUAAGCGACUAAGCGUACACGGUGGAUGCCCUGGCAGUCAGAGGCGAUGAAGGACGUGCUAAUCUGCGAUAAGCGUCGGUAAGGUGAUAUGAACCGUUAUAACCGGCGAUUUCCGAAUGGGGAAACCCAGUGUGUUUCGACACACUAUCAUUAACUGAAUCCAUAGGUUAAUGAGGCGAACCGGGGGAACUGAAACAUCUAAGUACCCCGAGGAAAAGAAAUCAACCGAGAUUCCCCCAGUAGCGGCGAGCGAACGGGGAGCAGCCCAGAGCCUGAAUCAGUGUGUGUGUUAGUGGAAGCGUCUGGAAAGGCGUGCGAUACAGGGUGACAGCCCCGUACACAAAAAUGCACAUAUUGUGAGCUCGAUGAGUAGGGCGGGACACGUGGUAUCCUGUCUGAAUAUGGGGGGACCAUCCUCCAAGGCUAAAUACUCCUGACUGACCGAUAGUGAACCAGUACCGUGAGGGAAAGGCGAAAAGAACCCCGGCGAGGGGAGUGAAAAAGAACCUGAAACCGUGUACGUACAAGCAGUGGGAGCACGCUUAGGCGUGUGACUGCGUACCUUUUGUAUAAUGGGUCAGCGACUUAUAUUCUGUAGCAAGGUUAACCGAAUAGGGGAGCCGAAGGGAAACCGAGUCUUAACUGGGCGUUAAGUUGCAGGGUAUAGACCCGAAACCCGGUGAUCUAGCCAUGGGCAGGUUGAAGGUUGGGUAACACUAACUGGAGGACCGAACCGACUAAUGUUGAAAAAUUAGCGGAUGACUUGUGGCUGGGGGUGAAAGGCCAAUCAAACCGGGAGAUAGCUGGUUCUCCCCGAAAGCUAUUUAGGUAGCGCCUCGUGAAUUCAUCUCCGGGGGUAGAGCACUGUUUCGGCAAGGGGGUCAUCCCGACUUACCAACCCGAUGCAAACUGCGAAUACCGGAGAAUGUUAUCACGGGAGACACACGGCGGGUGCUAACGUCCGUCGUGAAGAGGGAAACAACCCAGACCGCCAGCUAAGGUCCCAAAGUCAUGGUUAAGUGGGAAACGAUGUGGGAAGGCCCAGACAGCCAGGAUGUUGGCUUAGAAGCAGCCAUCAUUUAAAGAAAGCGUAAUAGCUCACUGGUCGAGUCGGCCUGCGCGGAAGAUGUAACGGGGCUAAACCAUGCACCGAAGCUGCGGCAGCGACGCUUAUGCGUUGUUGGGUAGGGGAGCGUUCUGUAAGCCUGUGAAGGUGUGCUGUGAGGCAUGCUGGAGGUAUCAGAAGUGCGAAUGCUGACAUAAGUAACGAUAAAGCGGGUGAAAAGCCCGCUCGCCGGAAGACCAAGGGUUCCUGUCCAACGUUAAUCGGGGCAGGGUGAGUCGACCCCUAAGGCGAGGCCGAAAGGCGUAGUCGAUGGGAAACAGGUUAAUAUUCCUGUACUUGGUGUUACUGCGAAGGGGGGACGGAGAAGGCUAUGUUGGCCGGGCGACGGUUGUCCCGGUUUAAGCGUGUAGGCUGGUUUUCCAGGCAAAUCCGGAAAAUCAAGGCUGAGGCGUGAUGACGAGGCACUACGGUGCUGAAGCAACAAAUGCCCUGCUUCCAGGAAAAGCCUCUAAGCAUCAGGUAACAUCAAAUCGUACCCCAAACCGACACAGGUGGUCAGGUAGAGAAUACCAAGGCGCUUGAGAGAACUCGGGUGAAGGAACUAGGCAAAAUGGUGCCGUAACUUCGGGAGAAGGCACGCUGAUAUGUAGGUGAAGUCCCUUGCGGAUGGAGCUGAAAUCAGUCGAAGAUACCAGCUGGCUGCAACUGUUUAUUAAAAACACAGCACUGUGCAAACACGAAAGUGGACGUAUACGGUGUGACGCCUGCCCGGUGCCGGAAGGUUAAUUGAUGGGGUCAGCGCAAGCGAAGCUCUUGAUCGAAGCCCCGGUAAACGGCGGCCGUAACUAUAACGGUCCUAAGGUAGCGAAAUUCCUUGUCGGGUAAGUUCCGACCUGCACGAAUGGCGUAAUGAUGGCCAGGCUGUCUCCACCCGAGACUCAGUGAAAUUGAACUCGCUGUGAAGAUGCAGUGUACCCGCGGCAAGACGGAAAGACCCCGUGAACCUUUACUAUAGCUUGACACUGAACAUUGAGCCUUGAUGUGUAGGAUAGGUGGGAGGCUUUGAAGUGUGGACGCCAGUCUGCAUGGAGCCGACCUUGAAAUACCACCCUUUAAUGUUUGAUGUUCUAACGUGGACCCGUGAUCCGGGUUGCGGACAGUGUCUGGUGGGUAGUUUGACUGGGGCGGUCUCCUCCUAAAGAGUAACGGAGGAGCACGAAGGUUGGCUAAUCCUGGUCGGACAUCAGGAGGUUAGUGCAAUGGCAUAAGCCAGCUUGACUGCGAGCGUGACGGCGCGAGCAGGUGCGAAAGCAGGUCAUAGUGAUCCGGUGGUUCUGAAUGGAAGGGCCAUCGCUCAACGGAUAAAAGGUACUCCGGGGAUAACAGGCUGAUACCGCCCAAGAGUUCAUAUCGACGGCGGUGUUUGGCACCUCGAUGUCGGCUCAUCACAUCCUGGGGCUGAAGUAGGUCCCAAGGGUAUGGCUGUUCGCCAUUUAAAGUGGUACGCGAGCUGGGUUUAGAACGUCGUGAGACAGUUCGGUCCCUAUCUGCCGUGGGCGCUGGAGAACUGAGGGGGGCUGCUCCUAGUACGAGAGGACCGGAGUGGACGCAUCACUGGUGUUCGGGUUGUCAUGCCAAUGGCACUGCCCGGUAGCUAAAUGCGGAAGAGAUAAGUGCUGAAAGCAUCUAAGCACGAAACUUGCCCCGAGAUGAGUUCUCCCUGACCCUUUAAGGGUCCUGAAGGAACGUUGAAGACGACGACGUUGAUAGGCCGGGUGUGUAAGCGCAGCGAUGCGUUGAGCUAACCGGUACUAAUGAACCGUGAGGCUUAACCUU
rnacentral:rRNA from 1 species